ACCUCAAGUCAUGUGAGAUUACCCGCUGAACUUAAGCAUAUCAAUAAGCGGAGGAAAAGAAACUAACAAGGAUUCCCCUAGUAACGGCGAGUGAAGCGGGAAGAGCACAAAUUUAAAAUCUACCUGGUUUUCAGGUCGAGUUGUAAUUUGAAGAUACGUUUUUGAUGUUCCAGGUUGGACUAAAUCCUUUGGGAUAAGGUAUCAUAGAGGGUGAGAAUCCCGUAUAUACCAACCGUAGGGAUGUUAUUAAAUACGUUUCUAAGAGUCGAGUUGUUUGGGAAUGCAGCUCUAAAUGGGUGGUAAAUUUCACCUAAUGCUAAAUAUAAGCGAGAGACCGAUAGCGAACAAGUACAGUGAUGGAAAGAUGAAAAGAACUUUGAAAAGAGAGUUAAAUAGUACGUGAAAUUGUUGAAAGGGAAACGAUUGAAGUCAGUCAUGCCGGUGGGAAUCAACUUAGGGGAAACUCUAGGUGCACUUCUUCGCUUGGCAGGUCAACGUCGAUUUUGAAUGUCAUAAAAUAAUUGGGGGAAGGUAGCUCCUUCGGGAGUGUUAUAGCCUUUGAUAGAUGUGAUGUUUGGGGUCGAGGAUUGCAACGAAUACCCUUUGGGGCUAGCCGCCUGAUCUCUAAUCGGUGUUGGGUUAUGGAUAGCAUGCUGACCGUGAUCUAAUUACUGGUUAAAAGGUUAGAGCGUGCAUAAAUUCGUUAAGGACGUUGACGUAAUGGCUUUAAACGACCCGUCUUGAAACACGGACCAAGGAGUCUAACAUGUAUGCGAGUGUUAGGGUAUUAAACCCAGACGCGAAAUGAAAGUGAGUGUAGGUGGGAUCCUUUAUWRARCACCAUCGACCGAUCUUGAGAUUUANNNNNNNNNNNNNNNNGAGC
rnacentral:rRNA from 1 species